UGACCACUUUAAAUCAAUGGCUGCCGGGACGUCUGGCUAGUGACAUCCUUCGCUCCAGACCGCAACGUCAGGGACGUCACUCGUCAGACGUCCCGGCGGCCAGCGCUGCUCAUUGAGCCUACCGGAGUAGCAUUGAUCUAUCCAAUCAGAGAGCAGCACUACUGAAAUAGAACUCCCAGGAGUGAGGGGCCGGUGCUGGACACUGUGUAGGGACGCGGGAAUGCAAAGUCAUACACAUGACUGUGACUGAUGCACUAUCUCCAGGACAUGGAGUAGCAUUUCCGGACCUACAGCAAGACGUUGGAUGAAGGCAUAGCCCCAGAAAUAACACUGGUCCUGUUCAUCAGUGAGGGGCCGUUGCUGGACACUGUGUAGGGACACGGGAAUGCAAAGUCAUGCACAUGACUGUGACUGAUGCACUAUUUCCAGGACAUGGAGUAGCAUUUCGGGACCUACAGCAAGACGUUGGAUGAAGGCACAGGCCUAGGAAUCAUGCACAUACACAGAAACAUUUGCCCAAAUUCUAGAGGUAACCUCCUUUAGUAUGCCCAGAGGAAGGGCCAUACAGUAGCCAUGGAUUCCCUACAGGUUUCCUCCCCUCUGGAGGUUUUUCCUGUCCUGAGUAUUAGUUACUGUACGCUCUUUGUGAGUGAUGGGAGGUUACAAAAAAUCCCCUACACAAACAUUUUAAUAAAUUAUAAAUAAAGUU